AUUGAACGCUGGCGGCAGGCCUAACACAUGCAAGUCGAACGGUAACAGGAAGAAGCUUGCUUCUUUGCUGCCGAGUGGCGGACGGGUGAGUAAUGUCUGGGAAACUGCCUGAUGGAGGGGGAUAACUACUGGAAACGGUAGCUAAUACCGCAUAACGUCGCAAGACCAAAGAGGGGGACUUUCGGGCCUCUUGCCAUCGGAUGUGCCCAGAUGGGAUUAGCUAGUAGGUGGGGUAACGGCUCACCUAGGCGACGAUCCCUAGCUGGUCUGAGAGGAUGACCAGCCACACUGGAACUGAGACACGGUCCAGACUCCUACGGGAGGCAGCAGUGGGGAAUAUUGCACAAUGGGCGCAAGCCUGAUGCAGCCAUGCCGCGUGUAUGAAGAAGGCCUUCGGGUUGUAAAGUACUUUCAGCGGGGAGGAAGGGAGUAAAGUUAAUACCUUUGCUCAUUGACGUUACCCGCAGAAGAAGCACCGGCUAACUCCGUG
rnacentral:rRNA from 1 species